AUGCGGAAUGUAUUUCCUGUUUGGAUCUCAUCACGUUUGGGGACGACAGGAAAAUUGGACUGGGUUUUACAGCAGCCUCUCACGCACUCAUUUGUCUGUGGGAAGUUUUGGUAUUCUGCUGAAGAUGCUGGAGGGUUUUGGUCCUGGGGCAGUGAGGUGGACUCUGUCUUUGUGGGAAAUGACCUAGAGGCCUUACAGAGACUCUGCGCUAUCAUCGGCUCCAGACUGCGUUAGUGGAGAGGCCUGGCCUGGACACGCAUAUAAACACACACACACACACACACACACACACACACACUCGCUCAGUCACCCUCGCUUACGCUGAGGCACGUUUCCGCAGUGAGUGAUAACUACCUCAUCUGGCUGUAGCCCACACAUAGGAGGAGGCCACAGACUUCCCAGCAGCCUUCAGCUUCAGCCAACCAGCCCCGGUCUGACCGCCUGGAUCUGUCAGCCCCCUCAGACCUCCCUGAGCCCCCACCCCAACCCAACCACCCUCCAUCCCAGCGCUUGAUUCAAACAGCGGCAGGACCUGCCUGGCUCCCAGAAUCCCCUCUGCACGUCUACAGCGUUCCGUGCUUGAGCUUUUUCGUCCGCUGCCCUAGAACAGUGACACGGCUGUAGCUCUCCCCCCUGAUGAUCGCUCUGCUUACAGCUUUUUAGACUCUUUUGUAUGAUUUUUAUUGGUAGAGGUUUAUACACAGGGGUGUGAUAGGUGCGGGGUUUCUCCACUGCCGAUCUAAAGGCUAGAUGACGCUCGCAGGAGCUUUCCCUGAACCGAACCUCCGCUUGGAACGAGCGCAGACCCUGCCGCACCUCUGAGAGCUCGGCCGCUGUUCUGCCUCUCCAAGUGCGAGCCUAAAUAUUCAGCGGAGAACCGCGAGGUUCCGCGUUCCCCCCCUUCCCCGUCGACGGCGCAGCGUGAGUUGCAGCAGGACUGCACGCGUCACAGACUCUGUUCCCCCCCUUCUCUCUCUCUCCUAUCUUUCUCUCUGCUUGUUCUCUUUAGCCAUCCCUCCCUGAGAUGCACCUUCCCCAGAUGGAGUUUCUAAACAGUCUGUCCACCUAACUCCAGGGGUGGACACUGUGGAGCGCAGGGCAGUUGAGGUUGAGAGCGGGAGGCGUGUGUGUGGUUGUGUGUGAGCGUAGCAGGAAGUAGGCGGGGGCUAGAGUGUGAGCGCAAGUGUGUGUGUGAGAGAGAGAGAGAGAGAAGGCCUCCG
rnacentral:lncRNA from 1 species